GCUAGCCAAUCCGUUUUGCCGGUGGGCUGUUAUAAAGGUAGCGGAAGAGCCUUUCAUGUAGCGCGCCCGCCUCUUUUUGGUUGUGUACCUGACUUCCGGUCUUGCCACAGGUAGGAAUGCUCCUCGCAGUCGCUUAGCUAUGCUUUCGGGCAGUGGAACUUACUUAAAUGUUUUCCUUAGGUUUCCUCUGGACUCAUUAACCGUGAGGUAUUUCCCUAUCAGCUCUGUAGAGUGUGCGCGCUGUUUUAUGGUGCGUCUGACUUUCGCUUUCAUAUAAGGUAUGACUGCUUCUUGCGAUCUCUCUUUUAUGCUUCGGGACAGAGGCACUUAUUUAGAUCUGUUUGUAGAUUCAUUUUGGCUUCUUCUACAGUGAUGUCCUUUUCUGUGGACUCUCCUGUGUGUAGUGUGCGCAUCGUUUCGUUGCGCGUCUGAUUUCCGCUUCCGUUUCAGUUUUUACCUAGACGGUUGGGUUCUUUUGUUUAUAACAUUGCCUGACUGGAGUCGGUAAGUGGCUCGUUUCCUGUACUUCCUGGUUGUACUGGGAUGGCUAGGGGUUGGUCAUUCAGCAUCCGGGAACAGAGUUGUGAGUUGAAGGUGGUGGCAGUGUGACGCGUUGGGGUUUGUUUCCCCUCUUCGUGUGCGUGUUGGUCACUCCUCUGUGUCGAUUGUCACAGUGACUUGUGUGUGGGUGUGAUUCACGUGUGUUUGGGGUGAUUCUGGCCUGGACUUUCAUCCCUUCUUUGUCGUUUAUAGUCUGCCAUCCACCGGUAAGCUCCAGCUCUAGCUUGAAAGUACAUUUUAACUCUUACCUUUCUUAGCUUUGCAUAUUCCUGAUGUUGCUAAAUUACAACUAGUUUUAUUAUUGUUGAACUGUGGAAUUGUAUAUGAUUGUGAGCAAAUAAACAUUUAUGUACGAAAACCACGCUCUUUGCAUUUUCAGUGAACGUACCUGGGUGCCUUAGUUAAUUAAAUAAUUAGGGUUGUUUAUUUCCUUGGGUGCAAUUCCCAAGGUGGCGUAAUUGGCUACAGUAAUUAACAGUAGGGGAGCGGCGGAAGGUGAGAUAGCGCCCCCUAG